rnacentral:lncRNA from 1 species
ACUUAAAAUAUUGACAAUUCUGUGUUAAGGGGGUGUAAAAUUCAGUUUGACAGCUUCAGACGUGAUAAAAUUUGACCUUUUUACACUGGACCAAAUCACUACUUAACAUAAAGAUUCAGCACUCAAAUUCUUUUAACAUGUAAUUACAUCCCCCUACUUAAUAUUUCAUGCAUUUAAUAUCAAGAAAUAAAUUGGGAAAGUGUAUCAAAUAAAACAUGCAAGUUAUACACUGUUUACACUAGGGACUAUAUUCGUAGACAAC